rnacentral:lncRNA from 1 species
UCCAUCUCCAUUUGUCCUCUAUUUUUUUCAUUCUCAAGAAUUUCAAUCGGGCAGGAGGCUUGAAGCGGCCAAAUAGAGAAGGUUAAUCAGAUGAGAUGUUGGAGCAAUCGAAUAGGAAAGCAGGAAGGACUAGGUUUUGGAUCUUAGUGGCCGAAUAGAGAAGCUUAUGAGCCACGAUGGCUAAGGUUUUGGGUCAGUGGAUCUCAACAAUCAAAUAGGGAAGAAGGAAUAUGAUGGUUUAUGAUUUU